AUCCUUUUGUGGUUUAUAAGUAUGAUGAGUGGGUGUUCACGUGCUUAUGUGAGGUGUGCCUCCCUCUAACCUUGUUAUGACAUCGGCCCAUUACCCGUCUGAUG
rnacentral:snoRNA from 1 species